AUUGAACGCUGGCGGCAGGCCUAACACAUGCAAGUCGAACGGUAACAGGAAGCAGCUUGCUGCUUCGCUGACGAGUGGCGGACGGGUGGGUAAUGUCUGGGAAACUGCCUGAUGGAGGGGGAUAACUACUGGAAACGGUAGCUAAUACCGCAUAACGUCGCAAGACCAAAGAGGGGGACCUUAGGGCCUCUUGCCAUCGGAUGUGCCCAGAUGGGAUUAGCUAGUAGGUGGGGUAACGGCUCACCUAGGCGACGAUCCCUAGCUGGUCUGAGAGGAUGACCAGCCACACUGGAACUGAGACACGGUCCAGACUCCUACGGGAGGCAGCAGUGGGGAAUAUUGCACAAUGGGCGCAAGCCUGAUGCAGCCAUGCCGCGUGUAUGAAGAAGGCCUUCGGGUUGUAAAGUACUUUCAGCGGGGAGGAAGGGAGUAAAGUUAAUACCUUGGCUCAUUGACGUUACCCGCAGAAGAAGCACCGGCUAACUCCGUG
rnacentral:rRNA from 1 species